GUGAGAAUCUACCUGAAGGAUGGGGAUAACUGUUGGAAACGACAGCUAAUACCCAAUAAGCCGAGAGGUAAAAAGGAAACCGCCUACAGAAGAGCUCGCGUCCGAUUAGCUAGUUGGGAGGGUAAAAGCCUACCAAGGCAACGAUCGGUAGCUGGUCUGAGAGGACGAGCAGCCACACUGGGACUGAGACACGGCCCAGACUCCUACGGGAGGCCAGCCAGUGGGGAAUUUUCCGCAAUGGGCGAAAGCCUGACGGAGCAAGACCGCGUGGGGGAGGAAGGCCCUUGGGUUGUAAACUCCUUUUCUCGGGGAAGAAAGAACUGACGGUAACCCGAGGAAAAAGCCUUCGGCUAACUCCGUUGCCAGCAGCCGCCGGUUAAGACGGAGGAGGGCAAGCGUUAUCCGGAAUUAUUGGGCGUAAAAGGGUCCGCAGGUGGCCGGUUCAAGUCUGCAAGUCAAAGGUCGGGGCUCCAACCCCGAAAAGGCUGUGGAAACUGAACAGCUAGAGUACGGUAGGGGCAGAGGGAAUUCCCAGUGUAGCGGUGAAAUGCGUAGAGAUUGGGAAGAACACCGGUGGCGAAAGCGCUCUGCUAGGCCGAAACUGACACUGAGGGACGAAAGCUAGGGGAGCGAAAGGGAUUAGAUACCCCU
rnacentral:rRNA from 1 species